rnacentral:rRNA from 1 species
AUCGAGAUUAGCGGAACGCUCUGGAAAGGGCGGCCAUAGUGGGUGAUAGCCCUGUACGCGAAAGUCUCUUUGCAAUGAAAUCGAGUAGGACGGGGCACGAGAAACCUUGUCUGAAUAUGGGGGGACCAUCCUCCAAGGCUAAAUACUACUGACUGACCGAUAGUGAACCAGUACCGUGAGGGAAAGGCGAAAAGAACCGCGGAGAGCGGAGUGAAAUAGAUCCUGAAACCGUAUGCGUACAAGCAGUGGGAGCCCACUUUGAACCAGUACCGUGAGGGAAAGGCGAAAAGAACCGCGGAGAGCGGAGUGAAAUAGAUCCUGAAACCGUAUGCGUACAAGCAGUGGGAGCCCACUUUGUUGGGUGACUGCGUACCUUUUGUAUAAUGGGUCAGCGACUUAUUUUCAGUGGCAAGCUUAACCGAAUAGGGGAGGCGUAGCGAAAGCGAGUUUGUUGGGUGACUGCGUACCUUUUGUAUAAUGGGUCAGCGACUUAUUUUCAGUGGCAAGCUUAACCGAAUAGGGGAGGCGUAGCGAAAGCGAGUCUUAAUAGGGCGUCUAGUCGCUGGGAAUAGACCCGAAACCGGGCGAUCUAUCCAUGGGCAGGUUGAAGGUUAGGUAACACUGACUGGAGGACCGAACCGACUACCGUUGAAAAGUUAGCGGAUGACCUGUGGAUCGGAGUGAAAGGCUAAUCAAGCUCGGAGAUAGCUGGUUCUCCUCGAAAGCUAUUUAGGUAGCGCCUCAUGUAUCACUGUAGGGGGUAGAGCACUGUUUCGGCUAGGGGGUCAUCCCGACUUACCAAACCGAUGCAAACUCCGAAUACCUACAAGUGCCGAGCAUGGGAGACACACGGCGGGUGCUAACGUCCGUCGUGAAAAGGGAAACAACCCAGACCGUCAGCUAAGGUCCCAAAGUCAUGGUUAAGUGGGAAACGAUGUGGGAAGGCUUAGACAGCUAGGAGGUUGGCUUAGAAGCAGCCACCCUUUAAAGAAAGCGUAAUAGCUCACUAGUCGAGUCGGCCUGCGCGGAAGAUGUAACGGGGCUCAAACCAUGCACCGAAGCUACGGGUAUCAUCCCUUUAAAGAAAGCGUAAUAGCUCACUAGUCGAGUCGGCCUGCGCGGAAGAUGUAACGGGGCUCAAACCAUGCACCGAAGCUACGGGUAUCAUCUUUUGAUGAUGCGGUAGAGGAGCGUUCUGUAAGCCUGUGAAGGUGAGUUGAGAAGCUUGCUGGAGGUAUCAGAAGUGCGAAUGCUGACAUGAGUUGAUGCGGUAGAGGAGCGUUCUGUAAGCCUGUGAAGGUGAGUUGAGAAGCUUGCUGGAGGUAUCAGAAGUGCGAAUGCUGACAUGAGUAACGACAAUGGGUGUGAAAAACACCCACGCCGAAAGACCAAGGUUUCCUGCGCAACGUUAAUCGACGCAGGGUUAGUCGGUCCCUAAGGCGAGGCUGAAAAGCGUAGUCGAUGGAAAACAGGUUAAUAUUCCUGUACUUCUGGUUAUUGCGAUGGAGGGACGGAGAAGGCUAGGCCAGCCUGGCGUUGGUUGUCCAGGUUUAAGGUGGUAGGCUGAAAUCUUAGGUAAAUCCGGGGUUUCAAGGCCGAGAGCUGAUGACGAGUGUUCCUUUGGAACACGAAGUGGUUGAUGCCAUGCUUCCAAGAAAAGCUUCUAAGCUUCAGGUAACCAGGAACCGUACCCCAAACCGACACAGGUGGUUGGGUAGAGAAUACCAAGGCGCUUGAGAGAACUCGGGUGAAGGAACUAGGCAAAAUGGCACCGUAACUUCGGGAGAAGGUGCGCCGGUGAGGGUGAAGCAUUUACUGCGUAAGCCCACGCCGGUCGAAGAUACCAGGCCGCUGCGACUGUUUAUUAAAAACACAGCACUCUGCAAACACGAAAGUGGACGUAUAGGGUGUGACGCCUGCCCGGUGCCGGAAGGUUAAUUGAUGGGGUUAGCGCAAGCGAAGCUCUUGAUCGAAGCCCCGGUAAACGGCGGCCGUAACUAUAACGGUCCUAAGGUAGCGAAAUUCCUUGUCGGGUAAGUUCCGACCUGCACGAAUGGCGUAACGAUGGCGGCGCUGUCUCCACCCGAGACUCAGUGAAAUUGAAAUCGCUGUGAAGAUGCAGUGUAUCCGCGGCUAGACGGAAAGACCCCGUGAACCUUUACUAUAGCUUUGCACUGGACUUUGAAUUUGCUUGUGUAGGAUAGGUGGGAGGCUUUGAAGCGUGGACGCCAGUCUGCGUGGAGCCAACCUUGAAAUACCACCCUGGCAACUUUGAGGUUCUAACUCAGGUCCGUUAUCCGGAUCGAGGACAGUGUAUGGUGGGUAGUUUGACUGGGGCGGUCUCCUCCUAAAGAGUAACGGAGGAGUACGAAGGUGCGCUCAGACCGGUCGGAAAUCGGUCGUAGAGUAUAAAGGCAAAAGCGCGCUUGACUGCGAGACAGACACGUCGAGCAGGUACGAAAGUAGGUCUUAGUGAUCCGGUGGUUCUGUAUGGAAGGGCCAUCGCUCAACGGAUAAAAGGUACUCCGGGGAUAACAGGCUGAUACCGCCCAAGAGUUCAUAUCGACGGCGGUGUUUGGCACCUCGAUGUCGGCUCAUCACAUCCUGGGGCUGAAGCCGGUCCCAAGGGUAUGGCUGUUCGCCAUUUAAAGUGGUACGCGAGCUGGGUUUAGAACGUCGUGAGACAGUUCGGUCCCUAUCUGCCGUGGACGUUUGAGAUUUGAGAGGGGCUGCUCCUAGUACGAGAGGACCGGAGUGGACGAACCUCUGGUGUUCCGGUUGUCACGCCAGUGGCAUUGCCGGGUAGCUAUGUUCGGAAAAGAUAACCGCUGAAAGCAUCUAAGCGGGAAACUUGCCUCAAGAUGAGAUCUCACUGGAACCUUGAGUUCCCUAAAGGGCCGUCGAAGACUACGACGUUGAUAGGUUGGGUGUGUAAGCGCUGUGAGGCGUUGAGCUAACCAAUACUAAUUGCCCGUGAGGCUUGACCAUAUAACACCCAAGCA